CCUGGCUCAGGACGAACGCUGGCGGCGUGCCUAAUACAUGCAAGUCGAGCGGACAGAUGGGAGCUUGCUCCCUGAUGUUAGCGGCGGACGGGUGAGUAACACGUGGGYAACCUGCCUGUAAGACUGGGAUAACUCCGGGAAACCGGGGCUAAUACCGGAUGGUUGUUUGAACCGCAUGGUUCAAACAUAAAAGGUGGCUUCGGCUACCACUUACAGAUGGACCCGCGGCGCAUUAGCUAGUUGGUGAGGUAAYGGCUCACCAAGGCRACGAUGCGUAGCCGACCUGAGAGGGUGAUCGGCCACACUGGGACUGAGACACGGCCCAGACUCCUACGGGAGGCAGCAGUAGGGAAUCUUCCGCAAUGGACGAAAGUCUGACGGAGCAACGCCGCGUGAGUGAUGAAGGUUUUCGGAUCGUAAAGCUCUGUUGUUAGGGAAGAACAAGUACCGUUCGAAUAGGGCGGUACCUKACGGUACCWACCAGA
rnacentral:rRNA from 1 species